GGGCCCGCACAAGCGGUGGAGUAUGUGGUUUAAUUCGAUGCAACGCGAAGAACCUUACCAGGGUUUGACAUCCUGCGAAUCUCUUGGAAACGAGAGAGUGCCUUCGGGAACGCAGUGACAGGUGGUGCAUGGCUGUCGUCAGCUCGUGUCGUGAGAUGUUGGGUUAAGUCCCGCAACGAGCGCAACCCACGUCUUUAGUUGCCAGCAUUUAGUUGGGCACUCUAGAGAGACUGCCGGUGAUAAACCGGAGGAAGGUGUGGAUGACGUCAAGUCAUCAUGCCCCUUACAUCCUGGGCUACACACGUACUACAAUGCUACGGACAAAGGGCAGCGAGCCGGCGACGGUCAG
rnacentral:rRNA from 1 species